rnacentral:rRNA from 1 species
GCCCUAGUAACGGCGAGUGAAGCGGCAACAGCUCAAAUUUGAAAUCUGGGUCUUUCAGGCUCCGAGUUGUAAUUUGUAGAGGGCGCUUUGGUGUUGGCUGCGGUCUAAGUUCCUUGGAACAGGACGUCACAGAGGGUGAGAAUCCCGUACGUGGUCGACAGUCUUCACCGUGUAAAGCCCCUUCGACGAGUCGAGUUGUUUGGGAAUGCAGCUCUAAAUGGGAGGUAAAUUUCUUCUAAAGCUAAAUAUUGGCCAGAGACCGAUAGCGCACAAGUAGAGUGAUCGAAAGAUGAAAAGCACUUUGGAAAGAGAGUCAAAAAGCACGUGAAAUUGUUGAAAGGGAAGCGCUUGCAAUCAGACUUACCUGUAGUUGCUCACCUAGGCUCUUGCCUAGUGCACUCUUCUGCAAGUAGGCCAGCA